GAACUUUUCAGUUUUUCAAAA
ensembl:piRNA 21ur-328 ncRNA